rnacentral:lncRNA from 1 species
GUAAGUAUGCACUUAAAAAUAAUGUCUAAAUAAUGUGUUAUAGCUGUAGCAAAUGUAGUGUGUAAACAUGGACUCUUUUCAUACUAUAUUCAGAGAAUAAAACAAUAAAUUUAGAAAUGGUAACUACACUGAUUAAAGCUCAAAUGUCAUGUGUGUUUGUGGUCACAGGGAGAAAGGACAUAGGCAGAUGGAAGCAGUAUUUUUAGGAGGUGUUGAAAUUAUGAAUGAGUUAUACAUGUAUAUAUUUGUAUAUAGUGCCUUGGCACUGCUUGUGUAAUAUGAAAUAGACUUUUCUGAGAAAAGCCAGUGGACUCCUUCAGUCCUCCUUUAUUUAGAAUCCAUUCCCUCACUGAGAACUUGGGAGUACCAGGUACAUUGCAUAAUAUGCAUCAUCUUCCUGGAUCUUCCCAGCAACCCUGGAAGCUUAACUAACAUUGACUACUGUGUUAGGAUUAGUCAUUGCUGACUGUGCCAGCCUGCAGCCUCAUAAUCAGAGCCUUGUCACCAAGCAUGGCUGCCUCAGUGACUGGAAUGGAAAUGAAAAUAAAGCAAGUGUUAUUUUCCUCAUCCUGAAGCAACAGAGAACUGCAUCAGGCUUACCAACAUGAACGUGGGUAAGAAGGAGUUUUGAAGUCCAGCAAAGAUUUUAUAGCUAGUGAGGCUGGCUGGAAGCAGGGUCGAUCUGGUCUGAUGUGUUGCAAGAUGUGAACUUAUUAAGGCAUCACAGAGGCAACUCCCAGCGGGGGUGGAGGAGAGCAGCAGGGAUGGAAAGGAAGAAGACUCUCAAGAUAGGAUGCUCCAAAGGAUGAUUGGAAGAGAAGGGUGAUGUCUGGAAGCGAUAAGCCUCAGAUGUUUGUUUGCACCUUACUGGAAAGCCAUGUAAAUUAAUGGAAACUUCCUGGCAAAAUAGCUUGACUUGUAGCAACUUCACAACCAUAACAAUCCAGAGGUGAGGUUUGCCCGCACCCUAUUCAUUUCAAUCCCGAAGGCAAUUUUCCCCUUGGCCAGAGAGAAGCUCAAGAACAAAAAACCAAACACCGCAUGUUCUCACUCAUAGGUGGGAAUUGAACAAUGAGAACACAUGGACACAGGAAGGGGAACAUCACACUCUGGGGACUGUUGUGGGGUGGGGGGAGGGGGGAGGGAUAGCAUUAGGAGAUAUACCUAAUGUUAAAUGACAAGUUAAUGGGUGCAGCACACCAGCAUGGCACAUGUAUACAUAUGUAACUAACCUGCACAUUAUGCACAUGUACCCUAA